CCUAAUUUCAAUUUCAACUCUCUGCCUCUCCACACGCUUCUUUUAUUCCUUCCUUUUCUCUCAACUGUAUCAUUCAACUUGGAUCAUUCAUGAAGACGAAGAAGGCGUUCCGCCUGUUACGCUCUCGAUCCUGUGGAUGCUCUUACGUGAUCCUCAUGUGGUUAAAAGAGGUCCAUUUCACGUUUUUGUUUGAGGUGAAGAGGUCAGAUUUAUGCUUCAAUUUGACUAUAUACUGGUGCUGAAGCUUUGGAGUCAUGGAUUACUAUUGCAAGUGGUUAACUUGCUUUGUGAAACAGAUCCAUUUGGCGUGGGGGCUCAGUUGCUACCUUUAUGUUCGGUAUUGCAUCUACUACUUUUCAAGGUCAAACAUGGACAGGGCUUGGAUUUGCAAUAAACGGAUUGAUGAACUAAUGUGUCGAAACUAUGAUUUUGUUUUUUCAAUCGAUUUUAUCAGAAUCCUUUUGGAGUCAUGGAGAAGAUGUCCCAUUGAAAGAUAUUAAUGGAUGUUCAAGCGAAGAAGAAGGCGCUGUAUCGUGCUAAAUUGAAAGCACAAAACCAGGACAAACGUAUUGAUUCUCCUCUUGUAAGGUUAACUAUUUGAGGUGUGGCAGUAAAUCGACCUUUUCAUAGUUGUUGAUGUUGGAGGUUAAUGGUCAAACUGCAACAUCUUAUUGGCUGCACUUAUCGGCCUGUUGGAAUUUAAUGGUCAACGGAUGUCAAACAAGUCCUGCAACCAAAAGAUUAGAUCCGAUAGUUAGAAUGAUGGCGGCGGUUAGCGUUUCUUCAAGCUAUUGAUAGCGGCUGUUGUUGUUGCAAUUCGGAGAAGAAUCAACCACUAAUCCAGUUUGUACUUUCGUAUCUUGCUAAGAUGUUUCCUGGUGAAGGUUAGUUUUUGUUUUACAAUGUUCAUCUCUAUGAUGUCAUUAAUACUGAUUGCCAUACUAGAGAUUUUUGUCACUAAAUAGAUUCACAUGUUAGCAAUUGUGUAGACUUUGACUUUAAAGGUCAAUCAAGCUACUUUUUAGAUACAAAUAUGAUAUGAAUUUUUUUAGACAUCAGUUUGUAGUUUGUACUCAUGCAUCCUAGAAUAGGAUCCACAUACAAUUUUUGUUAGGAUGCAAUCAGAUAGGAGGGUAUAGUGGAUUGGGUAACGGGUCAAACACGGUUGUGUUACAAAAAGUCGUUUUAGAGAAAUAUUUUUGAAAGUUUUUUAGACCAACGAGUUUCGUUCACAAAUUUGGGUAUUGAUUUCGAGUGGAAUAGUUGGUGUCCAAUCAAGAUUAAUUUCUUGGUUUGGAGGCUGAUUCAAGACCGGAUUCCUACUGCGUUCGCUCUUGAAAGAAGAAAUGUUUAUUUGCCUUGCACCCUGUGUAAGCUAUGCAAUGAAGACGAAGAAACGGCACUCCAUACAAAUAUGUGUACAAAGAUUUAAAAACAAUAUAAAGCAAGAUUAGCUAUUGAUAUAAAGGAAAGAAAGGAUAUCAAAGUCUUAAAGAUGUCUUACCCAAGCAAAUCAUGCUUUUCAUUACCAUUAAAUUUAAUGCACUCUAUCCUGAUAUGUAUUUUGUGAGACUGAAAGGGAUCAUAAUAUUGUUGGACUAAUCAUGUUUGUUUUGCAUAUGAAACGAGUUGGUGCAAAAGGAAACUUCGCGUACAAGGGUCUACAAUUCAGUGUAGUUGCUUCCGUGGUAACCCAGCAACAUGCAUUCUUGAAAGUUUGAAUGGGUCAGGAGCAUCGAAACAGAGGAAAAUAAUUGUAUAUGGGGUAUUCCUCAAAACAUGUUGGAGAAUUUAGCAAUGCAGAAACGAUAAAGUGUUCAAAGGAGUGGCUACUUUAGUUAGCAAGGUGGUGGAGGAAGUAAAUGAAACAUCGUAUGCUUGGAUCCAGCACAUGUCAAAGAUUAUGAGUAUUUCGUGGAGUGAUUGGCGCAACUUUAAUUUAUCGUUUAAUGUCAUUUUUUUGUAUUCUUUUUGUGAUGUAACUCUGCUAGACUAUGUUUUGUUCUUGCUGUUCAGGUCUCCCUUAGCUCCUUGCUAAGUGGAUGUGUUUGGCUGGAUUAAUAAAGGUUUUCUUUGUUGUUUUUC